rnacentral:misc_RNA from 1 species
AAAGGUUGUGAUGAUGCAAAACAGGAGCUUGAGGAAGUAGUGGAGUACUUAAAAAACCCAUCAAAAUUUACUCGCCUUGGGGGAAAGCUGCCAAAGGGAAUCCUUUUGACAGGAGCACCUGGUACAGGAAAAACAUUGCUUGCCAAGGCUAUUGCUGGAGAAGCUGGGGUACCCUUUUUCUAUAGGGCAGGAUCUGAAUUUGAGGAAAUGUUUGUUGGUGUUGGUGCUCGGCGUGUGAGAUCCUUAUUUCAAGCAGC